rnacentral:rRNA from 1 species
UGGGGAAUAUUGGACAAUGGGCGCAAGCCUGAUCCAGCCAUGCCGCGUGUGUGAAGAAGGCCUUCGGGUUGUAAAGCACUUUUGUUGGGGAAGAAAAGCCAUGGGUGAAUACCCUGUGGCCAUGACGGUACCCAAAGAAUAAGCACCGGCUAACUUCGUGCCAGCAGCCGCGGUAAUACGAAGGGUGCAAGCGUUACUCGGAAUUACUGGGCGUAAAGCGUGCGUAGGUGGUCCGUUAAGUCUGAUGUGAAAGCCCUGGGCUCAACCUGGGAACUGCAUUGGAUACUGGCGGACUCGAGUGCGGUAGAGGAUAGCGGAAUUCCCGGUGUAGCAGUGAAAUGCGUAGAUAUCGGGAGGAACAUCUGUGGCGAAGGCGGCUAUCUGGACCAGCACUGACACUGAGGCACGAAAGCGUGGGGAGCAAACAGG